rnacentral:rRNA from 1 species
GAUGAACGCUGGCGGCGUGCCUAAUACAUGCAAGUCGAGCGAACAGACGAGGAGCUUGCUCCUCUGAUGUUAGCGGCGGACGGGUGAGUAACACGUGGAUAACCUACCUAUAAGACUGGGAUAACUUCGGGAAACCGGAGCUAAUACCGGAUAACAUGUUGAACCGCAUGGUUCAACAGUGAAAGACGGUCUUGCUGUCACUUAUAGAUGGAUCCGCGCCGCAUUAGCUAGUUGGUAAGGUAACGGCUUACCAAGGCAACGAUGCGUAGCCGACCUGAGAGGGGGGUCGGCCACCCUGGAACUGAGACACGGUCCAGACUCCUACGGGAGGCAGCAGUAGGGAAUCUUCCGCAAUGGGCGAAAGCCUGACGGAGCAACGCCGCGUGAGUGAAGAAGGUCUUCGGAUCGUAAAACUCUGUUAUUAGGGAAGAACAAAUGUGUAAGUAACUAUGCACGUCUUGACGGUACCUAAUCAGAAAGCCACGGCUAACUACGUG